rnacentral:rRNA from 1 species
CUGAGACACGGCCCAGACUCCUACGGGAGGCAGCAGUAGGGAAUCUUCCGCAAUGGGCGCAAGCCUGACGGAGCAACGCCGUGUGAGUGAAGACGGUCUUCGGAUUGUAAAGCUCUGUCAUUCGGGGAGAGCGGCCAGGAGAGGGAAUGCUUCUGGCGAGACGGUACCGAAGGAGGAAGCCCCGGCUAACUACGUGCCAGCAGCCGCGGUAAUACGUAGGGGGCAAGCGUUGUCCGGAAUGACUGGGCGUAAAGCGCGCGCAGGCGGUUUUUCACGUCUGGGGUGAAAGCCCGGGGCUCAACCCUGGGAUGGCCUUGGAAACGGGAAGACUUGAGGGUCGGAGAGGUCAGGGGAAUUCCACGUGUAGCGGUGAAAUGCGUAGAGAUGUGGAGGAAUACCAGUGGCGAAGGCGCCUGACUGGACGAAACCUGACGCUGAGGCGCGAAGGCGUGGGGAGCAAACAGGAUUAGAUACCCUGGUAGUCCACGCGGUAAACGAUGAGUGCUAGGUGUCGGAGGGUACCACCUCCGGUGCCGAAGGAAACCCAAUAAGCACUCCGCCUGGGGAGUACGGUCGCAAGACUGAAACUCAAAGGAAUUGACGGGGGCCCGCACAAGCAGUGGAGCAUGUGGUUUAAUUCGAAGCAACGCGAAGAACCUUACCAGGGCUUGACA